UGAUGUGAGGGCAAUCUGGCUGUGACAUCUGUCACUCCAUUGAUUGCCAGGGUUGAUUUGGCUGAUCUGGCUGGCUAGGCGGGUGUCCCCUUCUUCCCAUACUGCUCCACGUGCAUCCCUCCUGAAGCUGCGGGCUCAGUCAAAGAGGACAACCAUCCUGAUAAAGCAGGACCAGUCUUCAGUCAAGGGUAUAUGAGUAGAUGCUCUUCCUAGCUAGAAUCUCCAAACAAGCUCUCAAGGUCCAUUGUAGGAGAAUGUAGAGUAGUCAAACUUCCAAGAUUUCAGACACAUCCAAAUGAGGUGCUGCAUGUGGCAGUCUGCCUUU
rnacentral:snRNA from 1 species